rnacentral:rRNA from 1 species
GAUGAACGCUAGCUACAGGCUUAACACAUGCAAGUCGAGGGGAAACGAUAUUGGAAGCUUGCUUCCGAUAGGCGUCGACCGGCGCACGGGUGAGUAACGCGUAUCCAACCUGCCCACCACUUGGGGAUAACCUUGCGAAAGUAAGACUAAUACCCAAUGAUAUCUCUAGACGACAUCUGAAAGGGAUUAAAGAUUUAUCGGUGAUGGAUGGGGAUGCGUCUGAUUAGCUUGUUGGCGGGGUAACGGCCCACCAAGGCAACGAUCAGUAGGGGUUCUGAGAGGAAGGUCCCCCCANAUUGGAACUGAGACACGGUCCAAACUCCUACGGGAGGCAGCAGUGAGGAAUAUUGGUCAAUGGGCGUGAGCCUGACCAGCCAAGUAGCGUGCGGGACGAAGGCCCUAUGGGUUGUAAACCGCUUUUUCAGGGGGUAUAAAGUGGGUCACGUGUGACUUUUUGCAUGUACCUUAUGAAUAAGGACCGGCUAAUUCCGUG